AUUGAACGCUGGCGGCAGGCCUAACACAUGCAAGUCGAGCGGAUGAAGGGAGCUUGCUCCUGGAUUCAGCGGCGGACGGGUGAGUAAUGCCUAGGAAUCUGCCUGGUAGUGGGGGAUAACGUCCGGAAACGGGCGCUAAUACCGCAUACGUCCUGAGGGAGAAAGUGGGGGAUCUUCGGACCUCACGCUAUCAGAUGAGCCUAGGUCGGAUUAGCUAGUUGGUGGGGUAAAGGCCUACCAAGGCGACGAUCCGUAACUGGUCUGAGAGGAUGAUCAGUCACACUGGAACUUGGACACGGUCCAGACUCCUACGGGAGGCAGCAGUGGGGAAUAUUGGACAAUGGGCGAAAGCCUGAUCCAGCCAUGCCGCGGGUGUGAAGAAGGUCUUCGGAUUGGAAAGCACUUUAAGUUGGGAGGAAGGGCAGUAAGUUAAUACCUUGCUGUUUUGACGUUACCAACAGAAUAAGCACCGGCUAACUUCGUG
rnacentral:rRNA from 1 species